rnacentral:pre_miRNA from 8 species
CCACCAUUGUCUCUAUCGGUACCCUCACAAAAGCACUGACUUUGAUGCUGUAUUUGGUAAGUGCUAUUUGUUGGGGUAGUUUUAAGUGA